GACAGAGGGGGCAAGCGUUUGCUCGGAAUCACUGGGCGUAAAGGGUGCGUAGGCGGGUCUUUUAAGUCAGGGGUGAAAUCCUGGAGCUCAACUCCAGAACUGCCUUUUGAUACUGAAGAUCUUGAGUUUCGGGAGAGGUGAGUGGAACUGCGAGUGUAGAGGUGAAAUUCGUAGAUAUUCGGAAGAACACCAGUGGCGAAGGCGACUUACUGGACACAUAUUGACGCUGAGGUGCGAAAGCGUGGGGAGCAAACAGG
rnacentral:rRNA from 1 species